rnacentral:misc_RNA from 1 species
GAUAGAUCCUUAUGCCAAUGAUUCAUUGCAAACAAUACAAAAGCCGCAUGUAAACAUCUAAUUUUAUCUCUAAUUGUAUAAACACAAACAAAUAAAUCCAGAUGCUAAAUAAAACUCUAUUUGACUAAAUAUGUCAUUUUCCAUUAUAUACACACAUACAACAUGCUAUUCCUCUGAGUGAAAUUAUGCAACAGCUCUAUCA